CGGCUCCUACGGGAGGCAGCAGCAGGGAAUUUUGCACAAUGGGCGAAAGCCUGAUGCAGCGACGCCGCGUGGGGGAUGAAUGCCUUCGGGUUGUAAACCCCUUUCAGGAGGGACGAAGCGAAAGUGACGGUACCUCCAGAAGAAGCCCCGGCCAACUACGUGCCAGCAGCCGCGGUAAUACGUAGGGGGCGAGCGUUGUCCGGAUUUAUUGGGCGUAAAGAGCUCGUAGGCGGCUCAACAAGUCGGCCGUGAAAACCUGAGGCUCAACCUCAGGACGCCGGUCGAAACUGUUGUGGCUAGGGUUCGGUAGAGGAGAGUGGAAUUCCCGGUGUAGCGGUGAAAUGCGCAGAUAUCGGGAGGAACACCAGUAGCGAAGGCGGCUCUCUGGGCCGACACCGACGCUGAGGAGCGAAAGCUAGGGGAGCGAACAGGAUUAGAUACCCUGGUAGUCCAAGCCG
rnacentral:rRNA from 1 species